AGUAUUUAUAUAUCCGGAGAAAGUUCUCUAGUAAAUUCUGGAGAUCUUCGGUAUUUAAAUGUCAACAUCGAUUUGUUUAUUUAUUGCUUUGCUUAUCGUAACUGACUCAAUAACAAAUCUAAUCAUG
rfam:Phalacrocorax carbo contig7101, whole genome shotgun sequence.